GCGGGCAGAGGGGCGCGGCCGGGGCCUCGCGCGCCGGCGGAGAGCGCCAAGGGCCGGGAGGAGCCGGAGGCUCGGCGGGCCGGCUCUGGGGAGUCGCUCAGGGUCCCGGAGCGGUCCUGUCAGAGCGGAGGCGGAGCUCUCGCUGCUCCCGGGCUCCGUCGGGGCAGCUGCGGGGCUCGCCUUCCUCAAGGCUGCCGCGCGUCCAGAGAACUGACGAGAAGGGAAAGAGGUCACCAGGAAGGCAAUGUGGAUGUUGUCCCUCCGCCUGGAAAAUGCUGCCCGUGGACCGGUGGUCUUUCUGUGUGAAAACGGUGGCUCUGCGUCAGGCUCAUCCACCAACCCUAUAACGAGGUGCUAUUCCAUUCAACUGCAAAAAUACUUGCAUUGACCCCAGAAACAGAAUGGAGAAGAAGAGGGAAACAGAUUUCUGUAAAGCAAUGACUUCCCUAUGUGAUGCCUUUGCCA